rnacentral:rRNA from 1 species
CGCACGAGAACGUUUCAGCUUGCUGAAACUAGUAAAGUGGCGAACGGGUGAGUAACGCGUGGGUAAUCUACCUCCGAAUUGGGGAUAACAUUGCGAAAGCGAUGCUAAUACCGAAUGACAUCUCAAUCACUCCGGUUUUUGAGAUCAAAGGUGGCCUCUCCAUGGAAGCUACUGUUUGGAGAUGAGCCCGCGUACCAUUAGCUUGUUGGUAGGGUAAUGGCCUACCAAGGCGACGAUGGUUAGCUGGUCUGAGAGGAUGAUCAGCCACACUGGAACUGACACACGGUCCAGACUCCUACGGGAGGCAGCAGUGAGGAAUUUUGCGCAAUGGGGAAACCCUGACGCAGCAACGCCGCGUGAGUGAUGAAGGCUCUCGGGUCGUAAAGCUCUGUCAAGUGAGAAGAACCUGCCUUUUGCUAAUAUCACUGGGCACUGACGGUAUCACUGAAGGAAGCACCGGCUAACUCCGUG